ACGCUCGACACCUACUGGAGGCAGCAGUCGGGAAUAUUGCGCAAUGGAGGAAACUCUGACGCAGUGACGCCGCGUGCAGGAAGAAGGUUUUCGGAUUGUAAACUGCUUUAGACAGGGAAGAAAGAAAUGACAGUACCUGUAGAAUAAGCUCCGGCUAACUACGUGUCAGCAGCCGCGGUAAUCUGAGCGGGCUGGCAAGGC
rnacentral:rRNA from 1 species